UACGUAGGGUGCAAGCGUUAAUCGGAAUUACUGGGCGUAAAGCGUGCGCAGGCGGCUAUGUAAGACAGGUGUGAAAUCCCCGGGCCUAACCUGGGAACUGCAUUUGUGACUGCAAGGCUGGAGUGCGGCAGAGGGGGAUGGAAUUCCGCGUGUAGCAUUGAAAUGCGUAGAUAUGCGGAGGAACACCGAUGGCGAAGGCAAUCCCCUGGGCCUGCACUGACGCUCAUGCACGAAAGCGUGGGGAGCAAACAGG
rnacentral:rRNA from 1 species